UUGCGUUUCUCAGUAGCGUCUGCUUGGAUUCACAAAUCACCCCUGUUUUGGAGAGCUCAUUUCUCCCAUUCCAGGGGGACUGCCCGAAAAACUCAAUCUACAUAAUCUUGGACGGCAACCUCAGAGGUUUUCUCUGCGCUUGGGUAUCGAAUUGAUCGCUGGAGUACUUGUGAAGAGCUUACUGUGUGCCAAGCACUGGACUAAAUGCUGGAGUCGAGACAAGGUUUUCUUACAGGAAACACUCUUCUCAGCGGUUCCUCUUCAGUCUGUGCAUAUCUGAUUUCUGCCCUCAGUCAUUGAUUUGGAUGUGUGACUCACAAUUUGCCAGAGGCCGCUCGCUUUCCGCCAGGAUCUCCAGGCCAAGCCUGACAGUGAUGCGCCAGAAGUGAUUUUUAAGGGCCCGUGGGGUUAAAGAACGUCAUACCGGCUACUUCAUUUCUUUUAGAAUAGAUCGUGUAACUCUGAAAACUAGUUUAGUAGUGCACUUUGGGCAAGUCAUUUAACUGCGCUGUGCCUCAGUUUCCUCAUCUGUAAAAUGGGGAUUAUAAACUUGUCCUC